rnacentral:rRNA from 1 species
UACGGAGGGGCGAGCGUUAUUCGGAAUUAUUGGGCGUAAAGGGCGCGUAGGCGGCUGUACAAGUCAAAGGUGAAAUCCCUCGGCUCAACUGAGGAACUGCCUUUGAAACUGUACGCUUGAGGCCGGGAGGGGUAGCGGAAUUCCCAGUGUAGCGGUGAAAUGCGUAGAUAUUGGGAGGAACACCAGUGGCGAAGGCGGCUA